rnacentral:tRNA from 1 species
UAGCUUAGUUGGUAAAGUACUUGUCUAGCGAGUAAUGGUCGUGAGUUCAAAUCUCAC